rnacentral:rRNA from 1 species
UACGUAGGGUGCGAGCGUUGUCCGGAAUUACUGGGCGUAAAGCGAGUGUAGGUGGUUGUCCAAGUUGGAUGUGAAAGCCUUGAGCUCAACUCAAGAAAUGCAUUCAGGACUGGGCGGCUAGAGGACCGGAGAGGAUAGUGGAAUUCCCAGUGUAGUGGUGAAAUACGUAGAGAUUGGGAAGAACACCAGUGGCGAAGGCGGCUAUCUGGACGGUUUCUGACACUAAGACUCGAAAGCGUGGGGAGCAAACAGG